GCAGUGGGAGCACGCUUAGGCGUGUGACUGCGUACCUUUUGUAUAAUGGGUCAGCGACUUAUAUUCUGUAGCAAGGUUAACCGAAUAGGGGAGCCGAAGGGAAACCGAGUCUUAACUGGGCGUUAAGUUGCAGGGUAUAGACCCGAAACCCGGUGAUCUAGCCAUGGGCAGGUUGAAGGUUGGGUAACACUAACUGGAGGACCGAACCGACUAAUGUUGAAAAAUUAGCGGAUGACUUGUGGCUGGGGGUGAAAGGCCAAUCAAACCGGGAGAUAGCUGGUUCUCCCCGAAAGCUAUUUAGGUAGCGCCUCGUGAAUUCAUCUCCGGGGGUAGAGCACUGUUUCGGCAAGGGGGUCAUCCCGACUUACCAACCCGAUGCAAACUGCGAAUACCGGAGAAUGUUAUCACGGGAGACACACGGCGGGUGCUAACGUCCGUCGUGAAGAGGGAAACAACCCAGACCGCCAGCUAAGGUCCCAAAGUCAUGGUUAAGUGGGAAACGAUGUGGGAAGGCCCAGACAGCCAGGAUGUUGGCUUAGAAGCAGCCAUCAUUUAAAGAAAGCGUAAUAGCUCACUGGUCGAGUCGGCCUGCGCGGAAGAUGUAACGGGGCUAAACCAUGCACCGAAGCUGCGGCAGCGACGCUUAUGCGUUGUUGGGUAGGGGAGCGUUCUGUAAGCCUGUGAAGGUGUGCUGUGAGGCAUGCUGGAGGUAUCAGAAGUGCGAAUGCUGACAUAAGUAACGAUAAAGCGGGUGAAAAGCCCGCUCGCCGGAAGACCAAGGGUUCCUGUCCAACGUUAAUCGGGGCAGGGUGAGUCGACCCCUAAGGCGAGGCCGAAAGGCGUAGUCGAUGGGAAACAGGUUAAUAUUCCUGUACUUGGUGUUACUGCGAAGGGGGGACGGAGAAGGCUAUGUUGGCCGGGCGACGGUUGUCCCGGUUUAAGCGUGUAGGCUGGUUUUCCAGGCAAAUCCGGAAAAUCAAGGCUGAGGCGUGAUGACGAGGCACUACGGUGCUGAAGCAACAAAUGCCCUGCUUCCAGGAAAAGCCUCUAAGCAUCAGGUAACAUCAAAUCGUACCCCAAACCGACACAGGUGGUCAGGUAGAGAAUACCAAGGCGCUUGAGAGAACUCGGGUGAAGGAACUAGGCAAAAUGGUGCCGUAACUUCGGGAGAAGGCACGCUGAUAUGUAGGUGAAGUCCCUCGCGGAUGGAGCUGAAAUCAGUCGAAGAUACCAGCUGGCUGCAACUGUUUAUUAAAAACACAGCACUGUGCAAACACGAAAGUGGACGUAUACGGUGUGACGCCUGCCCGGUGCCGGAAGGUUAAUUGAUGGGGUCAGCGCAAGCGAAGCUCUUGAUCGAAGCCCCGGUAAACGGCGGCCGUAACUAUAACGGUCCUAAGGUAGCGAAAUUCCUUGUCGGGUAAGUUCCGACCUGCACGAAUGGCGUAAUGAUGGCCAGGCUGUCUCCACCCGAGACUCAGUGAAAUUGAACUCGCUGUGAAGAUGCAGUGUACCCGCGGCAAGACGGAAAGACCCCGUGAACCUUUACUAUAGCUUGACACUGAACAUUGAGCCUUGAUGUGUAGGAUAGGUGGGAGGCUUAGAAGUGUGGACGCCAGUCUGCAUGGAGCCGACCUUGAAAUACCACCCUUUAAUGUUUGAUGUUCUAACGUUGACCCGUAAUCCGGGUUGCGGACAGUGUCUGGUGGGUAGUUUGACUGGGGCGGUCUCCUCCUAAAGAGUAACGGAGGAGCACGAAGGUUGGCUAAUCCUGGUCGGACAUCAGGAGGUUAGUGCAAUGGCAUAAGCCAGCUUGACUGCGAGCGUGACGGCGCGAGCAGGUGCGAAAGCAGGUCAUAGUGAUCCGGUGGUUCUGAAUGGAAGGGCCAUCGCUCAACGGAUAAAAGGUACUCCGGGGAUAACAGGCUGAUACCGCCCAAGAGUUCAUAUCGACGGCGGUGUUUGGCACCUCGAUGUCGGCUCAUCACAUCCUGGGGCUGAAGUAGGUCCCAAGGGUAUGGCUGUUCGCCAUUUAAAGUGGUACGCGAGCUGGGUUUAGAACGUCGUGAGACAGUUCGGUCCCUAUCUGCCGUGGGCGCUGGAGAACUGAGGGGGGCUGCUCCUAGUACGAGAGGACCGGAGUGGACGCAUCACUGGUGUUCGGGUUGUCAUGCCAAUGGCACUGCCCGGUAGCUAAAUGCGGAAGAGAUAAGUGCUGAAAGCAUCUAAGCACGAAACUUGCC
rnacentral:rRNA from 1 species